AGGACGAACGCUGGCGGCGUGCUUAACACAUGCAAGUCGAGCGAGGCCCUCUCUUCGGAGAGGUGCCCUAGCGGCGAACGGGUGAGUAACACGUGGGCAACCUGCCCCUAGCACUGGGAUAAGCCCGGGAAACCGGGUCUAAUACCGGAUACGACCACCUUAGACAUCUUUUGUGGUGGAAAGAAUUUCGGCUAGGGAUGAGCUCGCGGCCUAUCAGCUUGUUGGUGGGGUAACGGCCUACCAAGGCGACGACGGGUAGCCGGCCUGAGAGGGCGACCGGCCACACUGGGACUGAGACACGGCCCAGACUCCUACGGGAGGCAGCAGUGGGGAAUAUUGCGCAAUGGGCGAAAGCCUGACGCAGCGACGCCGCGUGGGGGAUGAAGGCCUUCGGGUUGUAAACCCCUUUCAGCAGGGACGAAGCGAAGUGACGGUACCUGCAGAAGAAGCGCCGGCUAACUACGCGCCAGCAGCCGC
rnacentral:rRNA from 1 species